GACGUAGGGCGCAAGCGUUGUCCGGAUUUAUUGGGCGUAAAGAGCUCGUAGGCGGCUUGUUGCGUCGACCGUGAAAACCCACAGCUCAACUGUGGGCUUGCGGUUGAUACGGGCGGGCUGGAGUUCGGUAGGGGAGACUGGAAUUCCAGGUGUAGCGGUGAAAUGCGUAGAUAUCUGGAGGAACACCGGUGGCGAAGGCGGCAUCCUGGACCGGUAUUGACGCUGAGGCGCGAAAGCUAGGGGAGCAAACGGG
rnacentral:rRNA from 1 species